UACAGAGGUCCCAAGCGUUGUUCGGAUUCAUUGGGCGUAAAGGGUGUGUAGGUGGCGCCGUAAGUCGGGUGUGAAAUCUCGGGGCUUAACUCCGAAACUGCAUUCGAUACUGCGGUGCUUGAGGACUGGAGGAGGAGACUGGAAUUCGAUGGUGUAGCAGUGAAAUGCGUAGAGAUCAUGAGGAAGACCAGUGGCGAAGGCGGGUCUCUGGACAGUUCCUGACACUGAGACACGGAAGGCCAGGGGAGCAAAACGGG
rnacentral:rRNA from 1 species